UACAGAGGGUGCAAGCGUUAAUCGGAAUUACUGGGCGUAAAGCGUGCGCAGGCGGCUUUGCAAGACAGAUGUGAAAUCCCCGGGCUCAACCUGGGAACUGCAUUUGUGACUGCAAGGCUAGAGUACGGCAGAGGGGGAUGGAAUUCCGCGUGCAGCAGUGAAAUGCGUAGAUAUGCGGAGGAACACCAAUGGCGAAGGCAAUCCCCUGGGCCUGUACUGACGCUCAUGCACGAAAGCGUGGGGAGCAAACAGG
rnacentral:rRNA from 1 species